UACGAAGGGUGCAAGCGUUAAUCGGAAUUACUGGGCGUAAAGGGUGCGUAGGCGGUUGUUUAAGUCUGUCGUGAAAUCCCCGGGCUCAACCUGGGAAUGGCGAUGGAUACUGGACAGCUAGAGUGUGUCAGAGGAUGGUGGAAUUCCCGGUGUAGCGGUGAAAUGCGUAGAGAUCGGGAGGAACAUCAGUGGCGAAGGCGGCCAUCUGGGGCAACACUGACGCUGAAGCACGAAAGCGUGGGGAGCAAACAGG
rnacentral:rRNA from 1 species